AUUAAAGGAGCACAGCAACUUAUUGGGACUUUAGCUCAUUCACCGUGUCCCCAGAGUUAGACGAGUCCAUUCAUACCCUUCUCAUCUCCGUGCUGCUGUGACUCUGUCUGACGCCCUUGCCUAGCCUAGCACAGAUCCUGAAGGUAACUGGUUCCAACUAGCUCCUGCUCCCAAUGAUGACAAAAGUGACUGAAUAG